ACCCUUUGUGAACAUACCUAUAACUGUUGCUUCGGCGGGUAGGGUCUCCGUGACCCUCCCGGCCUCCCGCCCCCGGGCGGGUCGGCGCCCGCCGGAGGAUAACCAAACUCUGAUUUAACGACGUUUCUUCUGAGUGGUACAAGCAAAUAAUCAAAACUUUUAACAACGGAUCUCUUGGUUCUGGCAUCGAUGAAGAACGCAGCGAAAUGCGAUAAGUAAUGUGAAUUGCAGAAUUCAGUGAAUCAUCGAAUCUUUGAACGCACAUUGCGCCCGCCAGCAUUCUGGCGGGCAUGCCUGUUCGAGCGUCAUUUCAACCCUCAAGCUCUGCUUGGUGUUGGGGCCCUACAGCUGAUGUAGGCCCUCAAAGGUAGUGGCGGACCCUCCCGGAGCCUCCUUUGCGUAGUAACUUUACGUCUCGCACUGGGAUCCGGAGGGACUCUUGCCGUAAAACCCCCCAAUUUUCCAAAGGUUGACCUCGGAUCAGGUAGGAAUACCCGCUGAACUUAAGCA
rnacentral:rRNA from 1 species